rnacentral:rRNA from 1 species
AGAGUUUGAUCCUGGCUCAGGACGAACGCUGGCGGCGUGCUUAACACAUGCAAGUCGAACGGAAAGGCCCUUCGGGGUACUCGAGUGGCGAACGGGUGAGUAACACGUGGGUGAUCUGCCCUGCACUUUGGGAUAAGCCUGGGAAACUGGGUCUAAUACCGAAUAUGACCAUGCACUUCCUGGUGUGUGGUGGAAAGCUUUUGCGGUGUGGGAUGGGCCCGCGGCCUAUCAGCUUGUUGGUGGGGUAAUGGCCUACCAGGGCGACGACGGGUAGCCGGCCUGAGAGGGUGACCAGCCACACUGGGACUGAGAUACGGCCCAGACUCCUACGGGAGGCAGCAGUGGGGAAUAUUGCACAAUGGGCGCAAGCCUGAUGCAGCGACGCCGCGUGAGGGAUGACGGCCUUCGGGUUGUAAACCUCUUUCAGCACAGACGAAGCGCAAGUGACGGUAUGUGCAGAAGAAGGACCGGCCAACUACGUGCCAGCAGCCGCGGUAAUACGUAGGGUCCGAGCGUUGUCCGGAAUUACUGGGCGUAAAGAGCUCGUAGGUGGUUUGUCGCGUUGUUCGUGAAAACUCACAGCUUAACUGUGGGCGUGCGGGCGAUACGGGCAGACUUGAGUACUGCAGGGGAGACUGGAAUUCCUGGUGUAGCGGUGGAAUGCGCAGAUAUCAGGAGGAACACCGGUGGCGAAGGCGGGUCUCUGGGCAGUAACUGACGCUGAGGAGCGAAAGCGUGGGGAGCGAACAGGAUUAGAUACCCUGGUAGUCC